rnacentral:piRNA from 1 species
UAAAAAUGCCCCCAAAAUUGAUUUAACAAGA